UAGCAGGCGGAGCAAAAG
rnacentral:misc_RNA from 1 species